UCAUGUGAGGGUAAUCUGGCUUCAACAUCUGCCACCCACUGAUCACCAGGGUUGAUUCACCUGGCUACACAAGUGUCCCCUUCCUCCACUAUUCCACAUGUAGCCCUCCUCAAGUUGAAAAAUGGGUUGAAGAGGAUGACCUUCCCUGAUAGAAGAGGACCAUUCUUUAAUCAAGGGUGUGCUAGUAGCUCUCUAAGCUCUCAAGGUAAAGGUUUCACCUGCACUGUCAGUUUUAUAGUCAAUCACAGCAAAUAGCAAGAAGCUUAACUUCUGAGAGUUUCUAAGUU
rnacentral:snRNA from 1 species